GACGAACGCUGGCGGCGUGCCUAAUACAUGCAAGUAGAACGCACAGUUUAUACCGUAGCUUGCUACACCAUAGACUGUGAGUUGCGAACGGGUGAGUAACGCGUAGGUAACCUGCCUGGUAGCGGGGGAUAACUAUUGGAAACGAUAGCUAAUACCGCAUAAUAUUGAUUAUUGCAUGAUAAUUAAUUGAAAGGUGCAAUUGCACCACUACCAGAUGGACCUGCGUUGUAUUAGCUAGUAGGUGAGGCAACGGCUCACCUAGGCGACGAUACAUAGCCGACCUGAGAGGGUGAUCGGCCACACUGGGACUGAGACACGGCCCAGACUCCUACGGGAGGCAGCAGUAGGGAAUCUUCGGCAAUGGACGAAAGUCUGACCGAGCAACGCCGCGUGAGUGAAGAAGGUUUUCGGAUCGUAAAGCUCUGUUGUAAGAGAAGAACGGGUGUGAGAGUGGAAAGUUCACACUGUGACGGUAUCUUACCAGAAAGGGACGGCUAACUACGUG
rnacentral:rRNA from 1 species